AGAAAAGCACGUCUAUAGGUCUUGUAAACUGGAUGGUUCAUAAAGUAAUUUAUCGUCUUUUAUUAUGGGAUGCGACAGAAGAUGUACAUUUAUGUUAUGGAAUAUUUAUAUAGGAUUUUGUAGGUUUUUUGGACUGAUUACAGCACUAGGUAAGGAUAGACUACAAUCUAUUGCAUAGCAACGUGGUGCGAUUCAGACUGGAUGAUCACGCCAUUUCCAUGAGCUAUUUUUAGAACACUUUCAUUUUCCCGAUUGCAUGUGUAUUCAGUCGUAAGAUAUUAGAUCUAACUAUAUGAAACAAAGAAAAGUUUGGUUUAUAAAGCGGAACUUUCAAGAUUAAUAACGAGUUGGGUGUUAGGCUUAAAGAUAUUCAAUAGGCUUUUGUUUGAUAAUAUGCCUAUGAAAUAGAGUGCAGUGCUUCUAUCAUAUUCAGUAGACUGUAGAAAGUUUCAAUAUUUUAUCGCAUACUGGCAUUGCUUUGUUUCAUUUAAUACACUGUUUCCUAUUGUUAAAAAUGGGAAUGAAUGUAUAAUAAACAGUGGAUUAGUUCAAGGCAAAAAGAUCGACCUCUUAUAAUGCCAUUUAAAUCCUGGAUAUUCCAAGUGACCUCUGCGGCUGGGAAUAUUGCCAUCAAAUGAGCAGAAAAGUUUUGUGAAAUCAACAUCAAAAUCAGAGUUUAUCUACAUUUAGGUUUUUUAUGUUACCUUAAUAAUGAUAAUCAUGAAACAGGGUAAUGUAGAAUUAUAUCUACAACUAUUUGUAUACCCCCCCCCCCCACCCCACUGGUUCAACUUUAGAGGGAGGGGGGCCCUCAGAUUAAUAUUUUCUGAUGAAGUGAAAUAAAAUAAAAAGUAACAGUAAAUUCUUUCAUUAGAAUGAUUCCAAUAAUCAUAUACUAAAAUUGGUUGGGAUGAACCAGUAAACUGCUUGCUUAUUAUCCAAAUCAGUGUGACUUAUACAACCUUAUUGAUUAAAUUGAAAUGUUUAGAAGGCACUGAUCAAUAGAAUUAAUUUUUUAUUCCCAUUACAUAAUAUCUAACUCAAGUCACAAAAUGAGUUGGCUCCUUAUUGCAUGUAACAAUGUUAUCUAUGUAACUUGUAAGUACAUCAUCGUCAUAUACAUUGUAUGCAGAAACUUUACAAAUUAGUUUAGUCAUUUCAUGUAUUUCCCUCUCAAGAAUUUUGUCAUCUAACAUUUAGAGCAAGAGUCAGGUUAGAAAGAGUAUUAGCACAAGCUUGUUUUAACAUCUUUCUUUCAGACAUGCACAUGAAUUUUCUUUUGGUUCAGUACUGUGGCUUCCUCCCACAUCAUAACAUGUAAAUCCCUCACACCAUACUUUUAAAUUGUGCCUAUAUAUAAGGAUGAUAUUAUAUACAUGUACAGUGAUUAAAUUGGUGAACUAUUCAAUUGUUGUACUGUACACAAAUCAUACAUUACUUGAUCAUCACAUGAUCUUGGUGGAGUUGGAGCUUUUUAAAGCAUCUAGGAGGUUGAAUCUUUUAUUGUUAAUUUACCACCAACACACUGAUUGUAGCUUGAUUGUGUUUUUUAAGGAUUUUUUAUUUCAGUAAUUCUUUUAAAAGCAGUCUGGGAAGGGUAUAGUCAUCUUGAAAGAAAAGCAUUUCUAAAGUUCUAUGUGUAGAAUCAAGUCCCUGGUUUUUAAAACAAACCCUUCCUUAUUUAUAAAGAAAAUAUUCCAAGGCCAAGAGCAUGUUUAAUGCUUUGCGGUGUUCCAAUAGAGAAUAUGGAAGCUUGAAGAUGCUUUGUUUAUGUUGUUUACGACCUGUACUGAGGGGCAAUGCUUUAUUCUCAAGGUCACCAAAUUCUUCUGAAUGAUGUUGUUAACAAAGAAAAACAUUACCAGGGUUACACGAAUGACUCUUAUUUAUGACAAGGAGGAGAAAAAUUUCAAUGCCUUAUUUUGUUCUUUCUGAAAGCUGUUCUGUAAAUAUUCUCUGAAAUUUAUGUAUGUAUCAAUUUUUAAGUAUCAAUUAAUCAAUGAUAAUUUUUUAUGAAAAAAAAUUCAAUGAUGAGUUCUACAUUUAUAAUAUUUUUUUUCACAUUGAUUUUAAUAAUUGUAUAUACAUGUUUGUACAUACCAGUAUAUCUGUAUUUCAACUAUGUUUGAAAAUUUUGUAGUAGAGUAUUUUCCCUUUCUAUAUUCUUCCUUCUAUGUUAUACCCAUAUGAUGCAACAAAGAAAGCAUUUUAUUUUUUAAAGUAAUAUAAAGGUCUAAUUUUGUGUGUGUCACACACGUUUUUGCUUUAAAUGGUUAAAUUCAUUCUGCAGUCAGAAUUCUCUCUAUAUAACACUCUGUGAAUGCCAGGUUUGUUGCAUUAGAAGAACAGAUAAUAGAAAUCUUAUGUCACCAUGGUCCAUAAACAAGUUU
rnacentral:misc_RNA from 1 species